rnacentral:misc_RNA from 1 species
UUAUGCGUCAAGGCUUGUAUCGCNUAGAGSGUAUUGUUGGUUUUNUGUAUUGGAUACCUAAUCGAAGGUAUUAUUUUGAUCGAUUGGAGUCCCUUUUCGUCUUGUGUUGCAUUCUGUGUCGCAUGAUGAACUUUGAAGCGGUCUCUAUGAUCCAUCACGUUGAUGCACUUGCAUUGAUGUUGUGGCCCAUUGAGCUUUGUUUGGUUUCUUGGAUAUGGAACAUGAAGUGGGCAUGGGGCUGUCAUGA